rnacentral:rRNA from 1 species
CAGCCGUAAACUAUGCGCGUUAGGUGUACUGGUGACCACGAGUCACCGGGGUGCCGAAGGGAAACCGUGAAACGUGCCGCCUGGGAAGUACGGUCGCAAGGCUGAAACUUAAAGGAAUUGGCGGGGGGAGCACCACAACGGGUGGAGCCUGCGGUUUAAUUGGACUCAACGCCGGAAAUCUCACCGGAUAGGACAGACAUAUGAUAGUCGGGCUGAAGACUCUACUUGAUGAUCUGAGAGGUGGUGCAUGGCGUCAGUGAC